rnacentral:rRNA from 1 species
GGUUAAGCGACUAAGCGUACACGGUGGAUGCCCUGGCAGUCAGAGGCGAUGAAGGACGUGCUAAUCUGCGAAAAGCGUCGGUAAGGUGAUAUGAACCGUUAUAGCCGGCGAUGUCCGAAUGGGGAAACCCAGUGUGAUUCGUCACACUAUCGUUAACUGAAUACAUAGGUUAACGAGGCGAACCGGGGGAACUGAAACAUCUAAGUACCCCGAGGAAAAGAAAUCAACCGAGAUUCCCCCAGUAGCGGCGAGCGAACGGGGAGCAGCCCAGAGUCUGAAUCAGCUUGUGUGUUAGUGGAACGGUCUGGAAAGUCCGACGGUACAGGGUGAUAGUCCCGUACACCAAAAUGCACAGGCUGUGAACUCGAAGAGUAGGGCGGGACACGUGGUAUCCUGUCUGAAUAUGGGGGGACCAUCCUCCAAGGCUAAAUACUCCUGACUGACCGAUAGUGAACCAGUACCGUGAGGGAAAGGCGAAAAGAACCCCGGCGAGGGGAGUGAAAAAGAACCUGAAACCGUGUACGUACAAGCAGUGGGAGCACCUUCGGGUGUGACUGCGUACCUUUUGUAUAAUGGGUCAGCGACUUAUAUUCUGUAGCAAGGUUAACCGUAUAGGGGAGCCGCAGGGAAACCGAGUCUUAACUGGGCGUUAAGUUGCAGGGUAUAGACCCGAAACCCGGUGAUCUAGCCAUGGGCAGGUUGAAGGUUGGGUAACACUAACUGGAGGACCGAACCGACUAAUGUUGAAAAAUUAGCGGAUGACUUGUGGCUUGGGGUGAAAGGCCAAUCAAACCGGGAGAUAGCUGGUUCUCCCCGAAAGCUAUUUAGGUAGCGCCUCGUGAAUUCAUCUUCGGGGGUAGAGCACUGUUUCGGCUAGGGGGUCAUCCCGACUUACCAACCCGAUGCAAACUACGAAUACCGAAGAAUGUUAUCACGGGAGACACACGGCGGGUGCUAACGUCCGUCGUGAAGAGGGAAACAACCCAGACCGCCAGCUAAGGUCCCAAAGUCAUGGUUAAGUGGGAAACGAUGUGGGAAGGCACAGACAGCCAGGAUGUUGGCUUAGAAGCAGCCAUCAUUUAAAGAAAGCGUAAUAGCUCACUGGUCGAGUCGGCCUGCGCGGAAGAUGUAACGGGGCUAAACCAUGCACCGAAGCUGCGGCAGCGACACUAUGUGUUGUUGGGUAGGGGAGCGUUCUGUAAGCCUGCGAAGGUGUGCUGUGAGGCAUGCUGGAGGUAUCAGAAGUGCGAAUGCUGACAUAAGUAACGAUAAAGCGGGUGAAAAGCCCGCUCGCCGGAAGACCAAGGGUUCCUGUCCAACGUUAAUCGGGGCAGGGUGAGUCGACCCCUAAGGCGAGGCCGAAAGGCGUAGUCGAUGGGAAACAGGUUAAUAUUCCUGUACUUGGUGUUACUGCGAAGGGGGGACGGAGAAGGCUAUGUUAGCCGGGCGACGGUUGUCCCGGUUUAAGCAUGUAGGCUGGUUGUCCAGGCAAAUCCGGAUAAUCAAGGCUGAGGUGUGAUGACGAGGCACUACGGUGCUGAAGUAACAAAUGCCCUGCUUCCAGGAAAAGCCUCUAAGCAUCAGGUAACAUUAAAUCGUACCCCAAACCGACACAGGUGGUCAGGUAGAGAAUACCAAGGCGCUUGAGAGAACUCGGGUGAAGGAACUAGGCAAAAUGGUGCCGUAACUUCGGGAGAAGGCACGCUGGUGUGUAGGUGAAGCCCCUGCGGGUGGAGCUGAGACCAGUCGAAGAUACCAGCUGGCUGCAACUGUUUAUUAAAAACACAGCACUGUGCAAACACGAAAGUGGACGUAUACGGUGUGACGCCUGCCCGGUGCCGGAAGGUUAAUUGAUGGGGUUAUCCGUAAGGAGAAGCUCUUGAUCGAAGCCCCGGUAAACGGCGGCCGUAACUAUAACGGUCCUAAGGUAGCGAAAUUCCUUGUCGGGUAAGUUCCGACCUGCACGAAUGGCGUAAUGAUGGCCAGGCUGUCUCCACCCGAGACUCAGUGAAAUUGAACUCGCUGUGAAGAUGCAGUGUACCCGCGGCAAGACGGAAAGACCCCGUGAACCUUUACUAUAGCUUGACACUGAACAUUGAGCCUUGAUGUGUAGGAUAGGUGGGAGGCUUUGAAGCGUGGACGCCAGUCUGCGUGGAGCCAACCUUGAAAUACCACCCUUUAAUGUUUGAUGUUCUAACGUUGGCCCCUUACCGGGGUUGCGGACAGUGUCUGGUGGGUAGUUUGACUGGGGCGGUCUCCUCCCAAAGCGUAACGGAGGAGCACGAAGGUUAGCUAAUCCUGGUCGGACAUCAGGAGGUUAGUGCAAUGGCAUAAGCUAGCUUGACUGCGAGCGUGACGGCGCGAGCAGGUGCGAAAGCAGGUCAUAGUGAUCCGGUGGUUCUGAAUGGAAGGGCCAUCGCUCAACGGAUAAAAGGUACUCCGGGGAUAACAGGCUGAUACCGCCCAAGAGUUCAUAUCGACGGCGGUGUUUGGCACCUCGAUGUCGGCUCAUCACAUCCUGGGGCUGAAGUAGGUCCCAAGGGUAUGGCUGUUCGCCAUUUAAAGUGGUACGCGAGCUGGGUUUAGAACGUCGUGAGACAGUUCGGUCCCUAUCUGCCGUGGGCGCUGGAGAAUUGAGGGGGGCUGCUCCUAGUACGAGAGGACCGGAGUGGACGCAUCACUGGUGUUCGGGUUGUCAUGCCAAUGGCACUGCCCGGUAGCUAAAUGCGGAAGAGAUAAGUGCUGAAAGCAUCUAAGCACGAAACUUGCCCCGAGAUGAGUUCUCCCUGAGACUUUAAGUCUCCUGAAGGAACGUUGAAGACGACGACGUUGAUAGGCCGGGUGUGUAAGCGCAGCGAUGCGUUGAGCUAACCGGUACUAAUGAACCGUGAGGCUUAACCUU